AGCCAAAUACUGGUCUCCCGUUUUUAAAGACUGAAGAAACUGCGUUCCUUGUUCAGGAUGGGAAAAGGAGAUCGGAUUGGGGAAGCAGAAGCCAGCACCAGAGGCUUGUUUGGUGAAAAGUCUCUCAAGUUAAUGGAACUGUUUUGCUUUGAAAGAGCUGAAAAUGGAAGUUCUCAGUCUGGGAGUUUUAAGUACCUGCCCAAUCAAAUAUGGACAAUAAACAAAUGAUCAUCCA